rnacentral:rRNA from 1 species
GAUGAACGCUGGCGGCGUGCCUAAUACAUGCCAGUCGAGCGAACAGACGAGGAGCUUGCUCCUCUGACGUUAGCGGCGGACGGGUGAGUAACACGUGGAUAACCUACCUAUAAGACUGGGAUAACGUCGGGAAACCGGAGCUAAUACCGGAUAAUAUAUUGAACCGCAUGGUUCAAUAGUGAAAGACGGUUUUGCUGUCACUUAUAGAUGGAUCCGCGCCGCAUUAGCUAGUUGGUAAGGUAACGGCUUACCAAGGCGACGAUGCGUAGCCGACCUGAGAGGGUGAUCGGCCACACUGGAACUGAGACACGGUCCAGACUCCUACGGGAGGCAGCAGUAGGGAAUCUUCCGCAAUGGGCGAAAGCCUGACGGAGCAACGCCGCGUGUGUGAUGAAGGUCUUCGGAUCGUAAAACUCUGUUAUUCGGGAAGAACAAAUGUGUACGUAACUGUGCACGUCUUGACGGUACCUAAUCAGAAAGCCACGGCUAACUACGUG